AGCGAUCAUAUUUGUUUGACGUUAAAAACUUCAACUCGAUGUUAAGAGUUAAUAAUAACAUAGACUUAAUAUUAGAAAUUUAAGUGCUAAAUUCGGAUGAAUCAUAUACGUCUCCUAGAGGAAAUAACUUCAAUAACAAUUUGUGAGUCAUUUUCUACGAUCAAAUGAGACUAACUUCUUUGUGUCAAUUCACUAAUAGCUUCCUUCAUAGUCAUAAAGCUUCUCCUUCAAUUGUGUUAAGUCUAACAUGAAUGACAUUGAAACCUACCAACAUAAAUCUACCUUGAUGAUCUCGUAGACAUCAUCCCCAACAUGUUACAUUAGUUGUAACAAAGAAGCUAGCAUUUACAUUGCAUUUCAAGUAGCCUUGCGUAGGAGGAAGCCAUUGAUCUAAUGUGUGACCAACAUCUUGGUGUGAUGUUGGGACUGUCUUGGCAGCAACCAACCCAUUGGCGGUUAUCUAAUCAACAAGUUGCCAUUGUCUUAAUAGCAAUAGACAACUCAGAUUUUAAGUUCAAUAAAUCCAAAGUAAAAUAAUUUUAAAAAUAAGAAACUAAUAAUUUUAAUAGUCUAACUAAAAUCAAAUUAUUUUAAACAAUAAUUAUAUACAUAAAUAAUCGAUCACCUUUACCUAUCUUAUAGUCGAACUCGUG
rnacentral:lncRNA from 1 species